rnacentral:rRNA from 1 species
UACGAAGGGGGCUAGCGUUGCUCGGAAUCACUGGGCGUAAAGGGUGCCGUAGGCGGGUCUUUAAGUCAGGGGUGAAAUCCUGGAGCUCAACUCCAGAACUGCCUUUGAUACUGAAGAUCUUGAGUUCGGGAGAGGUGAGUGGAACUGCGAGUGUAGAGGUGAAAUUCCGUAGAUAUUCGCAAGAACACCAGUGGCGAAGGCGGCUCACUGGCCCGAUACUGACGCUGAGGCACGAAAGCGUGGGGAGCAAACAGG